AUGGAGGAUGGCCUUGAGCUUAGUUUAGGCCUCUCUUUGGGUGGUGGGUCUUCUGGGAAGUCUAAGGCAAGAGAUGCUUCUCUAGAGCCUAAAGCAGAACCUCAAGUGGAAGAGAGCAGUAGCAAAGGCGUCUCGCAACCUCCCGAUGCUCCUUUUGCGCAUUACUAUCAAGCAACUGCUGAGAACCAGGAACACAGUAGCAAGCAGAGGCAUAGCCCUGCUACCCCGCCAUUUGGAAACUUCUGGGGACAACACGGUGGCUCCUCUGCUCCAGUGGCAGAUGGAUCAAGUGAACUAAUAGCCCACCAAUCUCAGCUUCCCCAGUAUCAGGAGGGGCGGACUCCAAAUAAUAUUGGAAAUAAUUCGGAGGAAAACAUGCCAGUCUCAAGUAAACGAAAGCUGCUUUCUGAAGAGACAAGUUUUCAGAAGAAGCAUCAUUCUGCUGCUGACCAGCCUGAUGCAUUCAGUAAGAGCUCUGAGGGAGGUGUGAAAAAUGCACCGAUUUCAAUUAGCACGGAUGAUGGUUCAACAGGUGAAAAUGAGGAUGUUGCAGACUCGGAAGCAGAAGGCUCAAACUCUUGGUUGGUUGCACAGCGUGAAGACAGUGCCAAGGGCUCUGUGGUAAACAGAGGAUCCGAUAUAAAGAGAUCCAGUGAUGAUGCUACAGGUGGAUUUCAAGGAAAAAGGCAACCGAGCUUUUCAGGAAGUGAAUCUAGCUCUGGAAAGUUGCCGCAUGGAAAUCCCUUACAAGCAUCGAAUGUAGUGACUGCACAAUAUCAAGGCCAGACUCAGGUUUCAGCACCCCUGGGCAUAACUAAUGCACCCAAUUUUCCUCCAAUGUAUACAGUGCAAUUGAGGCCACCCGUAAACAAUGGACCAGCGGUCCAGACGAUGGGUGGUGCCUCCCAGGUUUCUUUUGGUUACCCAACAGGUCAGCUACCAAUACUUGAAACGAGCUCUUCAUGGGCAUUUGGUACUCCGCCUCAGGCUAUUUCUUCCUUUGCUGCAAAGCAAGCCGAACGAGCAGGAGCCAAACAAGCUGAUGAUGGAAAGAAACCUCAAGAGGCUGGCGCGUCCUCCUCUGCUCUUUUGGAGGAUGGUAAGGUCGUUGAGAAGGUAUUGCCUCUCAUGGGCUCGGGCUCUGGUAUAAGGCCGGGCAUCGCCCCGAAUGUCAAAUUCGGAGGGUCCGGAUCAUACCCUGAUCUUCCCUGGGUAUCCACAACCGGGUCUGGACCAAAUGGCAGGACCAUAUCGGGCGUAACAUACAACUUCGGCAGAAACGAAGUGAAGAUCGUGUGUGCUUGCCAUGGCACACACAUGACGCCUGAGGAGUUCACGCGACACGCUAGCGUGGACGCAACAGGCCAGGAGAACAAUGCUACCAUGUCGGCGUUUCCUGUCGGGAAUCAAGCGGCCUCAGCCCAAAACUAA
rnacentral:rRNA from 1 species